rnacentral:lncRNA from 1 species
UCCAUUCAAAUUACAAGUCAUGUUCAUUUAUUCCAUUUCAAUCCAAAUCCAAGCAUAUUCAUGGACAAGAUUCAAUUUCAAAACCUUUCAAACUCAUUCAAAUAACCAUUUACAAUCCAUUACAUUGUCCAUUCCAUGAGAAAAAAAUACAAAAAAUGAACUUUGACCAAAUGUUGACUUUGGUCAAUAUUUGACUUUUUGCUCAACUUUGACCAAAGUCAACUUAAUCAUUUUACAACCCAAAGUCCUAAAUCCUAUUCAUAACCUCCCAAAUUCCUACUUGAUAUUUUCCAUUUGUUAUGGAUAUUUCAAAUUUCAAACUUGAUGUCUUUCAUCUUUGCCGGCCUUGUACAUAAUUCACCUCAUGUGUGCACGACCAUGUGCUGCCAAACCAUGCCAUAGGUAGAUAAUAAGGGAAGCCCCGCCAGCAUUAAAUUCAAAAUCAGAUCAGAAUCAAAUAUAUGCUACAACAAUGCAUGUGACCUAGCUGCAAUGCAAACCUAAACCAGAAUUGAACUUAUGCAAACCAUGCCAAAAUGCAGAACUUAGCAAAACAAGGCAAGGCAUGAAAUGCAAUCACAAUGCAUGUGACCUAGCUGCAAUGCAAACCUAAACCAGAAUUGAACUUAUGCAAACCAUGCCAAAAUGCAGAACUUAGCAAAACAAGGCAAGGCAUGAGAUGCAAUCACAAGUCAUGACCUGAUUCAUACUUGUAAACAAGCCAAUGGACCAUGAGGUCGUUCUGCAGAAACCAUCCAAACAUUGGCCAAUUUUUAACCAUAAACCAAGACCUACCACUUCAUUACCAACAAACCUGCAUUACAAAGUCAUAAUACACAUUCUACACUAUAAAACACAAAGGAAAAAAAACCAUGAAACACCUACAAUGCAUCAGGGUCAAAUUCAGCCAACACAAUCUGAACUUAACCAUUCACUAAACCACAUUACUGGACAAAACCUAACAUUCACAAAAUUUAACUCAGAAAAACAUAACUAACUUAGCCUAAGGGAUCUGCAAAACAAAAUAACUAAUCCAGAACUACCCUAACAGAAUUCGCAACUACCUCACAAUUCCCUCCUAACAAAACUGUCAGAACAUAAUGAACCAUUGGGAACUUCAAUUAUGAACCUCCUCUUCAUUCAACAAACCCCUUA